AGUUGAUGUGUGUGUUUUGACCAGCAGACAUUUUUUAUUUUGCUCCUGCAAGCAUUAUUUUGUUAUCUGUCUCUUGAACAUCAUUAGACAUAUUACGAUUUCGUUUAAACACUGUUAAAUACUAAGGGGUAGCAUCAACUUUAUAUUAUCACUGAAAAUUUUUCCAACUUUUCAUGGCCUACCCCAUGAAUAAAGGAAUAGAGUAGAUUUCUAGAAAUUGAUUCAGAAUUUUCCCACGACAUCGAAUGCAUGCGAAGAAAAGGGGGGGGGGGGGGGCUGGGGAGGGGUGGUAGCAUUGUUUGUUAUUAUGAGAUGGGUUCAUCAUAUUUAUUCACAUAUUUGAUUAAUAGACAUGCUGUUAACAAAGAACAGUACUGCUAUUUCCAUCUGUAUGUUUUCCCAGUACUAGCCUAUCUCUCAUCGUAAUUUAUAACAGCACAUAGCUAUAAGGACUGUGUUAUAAACUUUGGGAAACAUGUUUUAUUUAAAAAAGGUGUUAUAAUUUUUGGUUUUACAUAUUCAUCAAUUGUAAAAAUGCAUUGGUAUUUAAAUUGAUUUAGUUUUUAAAAUUCCCUCAUAUUAUUCAAAAUGGCGGCUCUUGAGACCGGAAAUGCCCAGUUUUGAUGAUCGGUUAAUAAACUAACAGGUUGUAAGGAAAGAAAAUAUUACUAAAAUUUGUUUCAAUUAAAUGCAGAAUUCUUUAGAUAAUAUUAAGUAAAUAAUAUUGUUUUUUAACCAAAAUAAAUUUUAAAGAUUUAUCCCGGUAUUAAUCUUGGCUGUAUCGUGAUUGGCCAAAAUUUCAAACUUUGACUUCCGUGAAUUCUGAUUGGACAAUUGCCAUUCCGCCAUCAAAUUUUGAAAUGGGCAAAGAAGACAGGAGUUGUUGUGAAGAUAUUCCUGAUUUUUUCAAGAAAUAUGCAGAAUCACAGCGUGUUGUAUGUAGUAAUGAAACUGCAAGCAGUGGUUUCAUAAAGAUAGACAUGCUUAAGACCUGGAUGAUAUGGCUUUAGUUGUGGAUGACCAUUUCCAUUCAGGAAAAAAUCCCAACCAAGUCCAGCUAGUAGACUGUACACCAGAUUGAAGAUACAUCAUUAAUACAAGAUGAAAAAAAUUAAUGGAGGACGAGGAUAAUACUAUGAAAGAGAUCAGAUGCAAGAGCAACCGUUCCCAUAGAAAUACAUGCAGCCAUGUAAACAGAAACCAGUUUUCACCUGCCAGGUGCUGGUCACAUAUAUAUUCAACUUGGAACAGAUUCAAGAAACAGAUCCAGUUGUUUGCUGAUAAAUUACUGCAGGUCAUUGGUAUCAUCUAGAACCAGGACUGUUUUAAAAAUCAUACUAGUAUGUUUGGAACAAAAUCAUGCUGGUAUAUGUUAGGAAUUUAACCUAAAACAUGCUUUAUGAAGGUUUUGGUCAAAUUUUGGUUUACAAAAUAAUGUUUUUCAAACUUUCUAUUCAAAUUUAGCAAGAACAUUAGACACACAUGUAAUAUCCCAAAUGCUUUUAUGUUAGAUUAUUGCUUUAUUUAAAAAACUUGCAUAUAGGGUCUGUAAUGAUUUGAGAUUAUUAUGUAAACAAUAAAAUGCUUUCUUUGGUGACAUAUGCGGGAUAUGAAUGUAGCAACAUUGCAGAAAAAAUACAUUACCCGCAUUAGCGAGUUAUGUAAAUUUUUUCUGCAAUCAUUGCUCCCUUCAUUACCUGCAUGAAUCGUCAAAGAAAGCAUUAUAUUGUUUAUAUUUACAUCUUUCUUUUAACAAAUUAAUAAAUUGUU